CCCAAAGGUAGGCAUAGUUUAAAUUUAAAACCCUAAGCUGUGGACUUACCAACAGGA
rnacentral:tRNA from 1 species